GACGAACGCUGGCGGCGUGCUUAACACAUGCAAGUCGAACGGAAAGGCCCCUCUUGGGGGGUAGUCUAGUGGCGAACGGGUGAGUAACACGUGAGUAACCUGCCCUUGACUCUGGGAUAACUCCAGGAAACUGGGGCUAAUACCGGAUAGGAGCGCCCGCUGCAUGGUGGGGGUUGGAAAGAUUUGGCGGUUGUGGAUGGACUCGCGGCUUAUCAGCUUGUUGGUGGGGUAGUGGCUUACCAAGGCGUUGACGGGUAGCCGGCCUGAGAGGGUGACCGGCCCAAAUGGGGCUGGGAAACCGGCCAGACUUCUACGGGGGGGAGGAGUUGGGAAUAUUGGAAAAAGGGUGGAAGGCCGAUGGCAGCACGGCGGCGGGGGGAUGGAGGGCUUCCGGUUGUAAAACGCCUUCGCUCAUGGAGAAACUUUGUGUGACGGUAGUGGGUAAAGAAGCACCGGCUAACUACGUG
rnacentral:rRNA from 1 species